UUGAACUGAUGUGAUGUCCCUUAUGAAAUGGAUAAGACAAUGUAACUAGAAAGUCUAAUCCAUGAAUUCUAUUUCAGCCAUGUAGUUCAUCGGCAGCCAUAGUAGUGACUGGCGCAGGUGGCUUACUUGAUGUCGUAAUAUCUUAGUUUUGACUAUACACUUGUUAAUGUGAUACUAGCUAAAAUGAAAGUUAACAGCCGACUUGCAUUAUGUGUUCACGUCACUUGUAAUUGCUAGGUGAUAAAGCGAUGCAUUAUUUGUGGAAGUUGCCCCUCAGAAGGGAUUUAUGACACGUGCCUGUACUCGUCAGAUGUCCUAUGAGAUUCCUCUGUCCUAUGCGCAUUGUUCCUCAACGCCCCAAUGUAAUGCCAGACAGCUCGCGGGUAUCAGUUGUGUGGUUCAGGUGUUAUGUAGGUAGCCUAUGGUAGGAUUCCUUGUAUUUCGCUUCUCUGUCUCCCAUGCGUGCGGUCGAUGUCUCGUUAUAAGCAAACUAUUGUUAGGGUCUUUGUGUCUGUUGGACUGUUGCUUGUCAUCUGUACCUAUACGCACAGCCGUCUCUUUGACAUGCUGACACUGCUUCGUUUGAGUCAAUUUUAUCGGGAUGGAGACCUUCCGCCUUGCUUCAUGGGUUGACAAUUGACCUGCAGCGUGAAUUUGCUUGCAAUUUGAACCGUUAGCAAACCAUCCUACUACUACUGCUACUACUACAAUUCUAAACUUGCGUUUAUUUUGCAGUUUCAUUGUCGACCUUAUAUUAGCUUGAAUCUUCCUGCCAAUUUAAAAUUUUGGCAUCCUCGCCUCCACUUGCUGCAAACAGCGGCGUCCACCGUCCGAUUAGAUGGUGCCUUGGUGUCUUUUGGGCAGAAUAACGGCGUCCUCGACCUAUGUUGUGCCAUACUCUACAGACUGGUGCAUCACUGGGUUUCAAUAUCAAUUCUAUAUAUACUCACACUGAUGACUGAUUGAGUGUCAGUAAAGCACUCAGUAAUCAGUAAUGAGUGACUUUGAUCCAUAAAUGCAAUAUAUAGCCCCUGUGGCUUUAAGUCCACCCAGCGUGGACACCCAGAAAAGAAGAAGAAGAUUCCGGAGUUUCAUAGCAUAUAGUUCAUCCUGGCGUACGCGUACAUACUUACCUGGAAUACCUUAGUUUUUUUUUUUUUUUUUUAUUGGCAUACACUCAUUGUUUUAUUGGCGUACACUCAGCCAUGCUGCGUUGAAGCCUCAGGCGUACGCGCUGCACCAUCCUGGUUGGAGGUGUGCGCUCAAAAUCAUAUGCGGAUGAAAAUUCAUUAAAUGGUGCACCUGCAGGUCCUCCUGAUGUGACGAUGUUUAACAUGUUCCUUGUGUGUAAGUGCAUGCAUUUGCACCCUCCAGCUGAUAUGUGUAAGAUGCUGUUUAUUUGAUGCAGCUGAGUGUGUUUAUUGGAAAAAAUGGUUACUGGACCAAGACCACCAAAUUCUGGCCAUGCUGUGGCGGAGGUGGCCGGGGGGUGGACGUGUGGUGAAUUUGGAGUUGGCGCGCGCGCGCGCGAAAGCGAUUUAAAAAGGAUGAGCAUGGAUUGCUUUGAUGAGUUUAGGACUUUGUAGUCCAAUGUCAAGCUGAUGCUCCGCUAUGGUCGUCCUACGUCUCCGAGUCGUCGCUAGGCAGAUUUCUCCCCGCCCUCGAAUACCGCGGAUGUAACGUUGAACGUGUAUUUUGCGUCUGUUUUGCUCUCCUUUGGGCCAGCUGACGCAAGAUGUUGUUUGAUUGUCACAUGCUGAGGGUAGUUUUUUCCAUAAGUGGACAAUCCGAGAUCUUCUUCAGGAACUUAUCCAGUUGUCUUUUGAAAGUCUCAAUGGUAAUAAAAUCCUCCCUCUCUUCUCAGCACCUUUGGUUCAAACAGCCUUGGUGGUAGUCCUACCACGGACAGGAGUGAUCCCUCACGAAGAUUUUCAACUCUGGCCGCGGCUCUGUUAUUGAAUGAAGGAAUUGUGCACAGUGUCCCACACGCGCUUUAGUUGUAACACUUCACAAAUUUGGAGGCUUCCUAACACCAAGACAAGAAGCUGUAGUUAUUGGAGACUCGAGCGAGAUAUCGAGAGCGAGGCUAGGGUGUGAAGAGGGAAGAGAGAUGUCACAGAGUACCUCCUGAGUACUCUGAGUCACAGAGUACCACAGGAAACGAUACUGGGCCCAACCUCAUUCACAUCGGCGACAUAGAUAUGAAAGUGAUUCAUGCCACUGCAUCGUCAUUCGGGGGCGGAUGAAAAAGAAGGAGGAGGCACGGUGCGCGCCCGAUCCAUCGUGGCCUGGGACUGCUAUACGUCCGAAACAAAUACUAAGGCAUGACAGUCCUGUCACACACCACACUCGUGCUCGGCCAUGCUGCUGUGUAGUUGUUUGUUGCCCGGCUGUAAGUUGUGUCCGUGUGUUUUUUGGCCUGCCACGGGAGGAACGACGGGUUGCACCGGAAGGCUCCAUCCACCAAGAAGAGGUCCGGAUGUCGGAUAGACCUGGCGGCACAGUAUUGCUACGUGGAGAGGCGCAGUUGUCGGGAAGAAGAGAGUGUGAUUGUGUCUCUGUAUUCACACAAACACACACGACGAUGAAGAAUAAUUCUUCUCUAACCUGAUGUCAGUAGCGCGAUGUGUGCAUCUUGCCGGCGUCACUGUGUGCGCGCCAACAAAUAUCAUCUGAAGAAGCAUUUAUUUAAUAAAAAAUGUUGUUUGAGUGUGGGACUAGCGAGAAAUGUGACGACAAACGAGCAGAGUGUCGUGAUACAAGAGCUAUCUGUCUGUUGUUGUAAUUGUCCAUCCUGGUAGUGGCGACUAGGGAGGGGGUGAUAGGCCAGUUUUU